UCUUAGAAAGAUGUGGGUUUGGGCUUGCAGGCUCUGCAUUCUUCUCACUUUGUUAUCCAGUCUGACAGACUGUGUCCAAAUUGAGCAACCAUCAGAUCUGAUCACAAUCCUCAAGGAUAAUGUUAAAAUCUCCUGUAAACAUGAAGACAAUACUUUAGAUGUCAUGUUAUGGUAUCAACGACGGAAAGAAAGCACAGCUUUGGCUUUGAUCGGCUAUAGUUAUGCUACACUUCCACCGAAUAAUGAGGCUGAAUUUCCAGAAACACAAUUUAAACAGAACAGGAUUAAUACAGUAUCUGGAGAUCUGACCAUCUCUAAUCUCAACCUGUCUGAUUCUGCUGUGUAUUACUGCGCUGCCAGAAUACACAGUGCUUCUGGUUCAUCACCUGCCUGACUAAAAACCUGAAAAAGCAUACAGGAAGUUCAGUCUGCAGCACUUCAGCUCACUAAUACACAUCACGUGGCUUGUACAAAUACAGUAGAAGUGAAGAUAAACCGAUCA